rnacentral:rRNA from 1 species
UUCGCAAUGCCCGAAAGGGUGACGAUGCGACGCCGCGUGAGCGAAGAAGGCCCUAGGGUUGUAAAGCUCUGUCGAGGGUUAUGAAAUAUAGAUGGGUUAAUACCCCAUUUAUUUGACAAAAGCCCAAAAGGAAGCCACGGCUAACUCUGUGCCAGCAGCCGCGGUAAUACAGAGGUGGCGAGCGUUGUUCGGUAUUAUUGGGCGUAAAGAGCACGUAGGUGGUUUUGUAAGUCAGGUGUGAAAGCCUUCUGUUCAAAGGAAGAACGGCAUCUGAAACUGCAGAUCUUGAGUGUAGGAGGGGAGAGUGGAACUUCUGGUAGAGCGGUGAAAUGCGUAGAUAUCAGAAGGAACGUCGGCGGCGAAAGCGACUCUCUGGCCUAUUACUGACACUGAGUGUGCGAAAGUUAGGGGAGCAAACGGGAUUAGAUACCCCGGUAGUCCUAACCGUAAACGAUGGGCACUAAGUAGAGGGGUUUU